rnacentral:rRNA from 10 species
GUUUGACCUCGGAUCAGGUAGGGAUACCCGCUGAACUUAAGCAUAU